UACGAAGGGGGCUAGCGUUGUUUGGAAUCACUGGGCGUAAAGGGUACGUAGGCGGCUGGUCAAGUCUGGGGUCAAAGGCCACAGCUCAACUGUGGGAAGGCCCUGGAAACUGACCGGCUAGAGUGAGGUAGGGGUUGCGGGAAUUCCCGGUGUAGCGGUGAAAUGCGUAGAGAUCGGGAAGAACACCUGAGGCGGAAGCGCGCAACUGGGCCUCAACUGACGCUGAGGUACCAAAGCUAGGGGAGCGAAUGGG
rnacentral:rRNA from 1 species